AGCCUUGGCGAAGCGGUGGGUCGGGUCCCUGACCGGCCUGGGAUCCAGCCUUGAUCUUAAAGACACAGAGCUUUGGAAACAAAAGGCCUGGCGGGCCCACUCGUGGACGAGCGGCCGGGGCAAGUAGCGUGGAACUGGAGAACUGAGUGCUGAGGCUUUGGCCAGCCGGUGGACACCCCUGGGAAAACAGCCAGGAAGAAACGCGGCACCGCUCCGGCCGACGCAAGGCUGGGCUGGGCCUCUUUCACUCAAGCCGCCCUUUCUGGGCUCAGCGGCUCCCGGCCGGAAUCGGCCCUGCUGGGAGCAAGGAGAGGCUGGAAAUGCUUGCUGGACUCGGAGCGAACGGACCCGGCCGCGCCCGCUCUCCUCCAGGGCCACAGACUCCGCGAGACCAGGCGGCGGGCCAGGUGGAGAGCGUCGGCGAGUCGAGCGGGCCCGCCCGGUGGAUGGCCCGACCACCGGGCCAGUGCACAGCUUCGAUACCGGGAGCAGACUCUUUCCUGGUCCCAGGCUACAGCGAGCUCGCGGGUCCCGGCUUCCCUCCAGGUCCGGCUCAGGGAGUAUCCCCGCUCUCUGCA
rnacentral:lncRNA from 1 species